rnacentral:rRNA from 1 species
GGAAAAGAAACCAACAGGGAUUGCCUCAGUAACGGCGAGUGAAGCGGCAAAAGCUCAAAUUUGAAAUCUGGAGCCUUCGGCUUCCGAGUUGUAAUUUGAAGAGGGUGUUUCGGGAGUAGCCUUGGCCCAAGUUCCUUGGAACAGGACGUCAUGGAGGGUGAGAAUCCCGUACAUGGCUGAAGGCUUUCUCUCAUGUGAAACCCCUUCGAAGAGUCGAGUUGUUUGGGAAUGCAGCUCAAAAUGGGUGGUAAAUUUCAUCUAAAGCUAAAUAUUGGCGGGAGACCGAUAGCGCACAAGUAGAGUGAUCGAAAGAUGAAAAGCACUUUGAAAAGAGAGUUAAACAGUACGUGAAAUUGUUGAAAGGGAAGCGCUUGCAAUCAGACUCGCUUUCGGUUGAUCAGCGACGCCUUCUGGCGCGUGCACUCUGCCGUUUGCGGGCCAGCAUCAGUUGGAGCGGUGGGACAAAGACGGCAGGAAUGUGGCUCCCCUCGGGGAGUGUUAUAGCCUGUCGUGCCAUGCCAUCAGCCCCGACUGAGGUCCGCGGUUCGCCUAGGAUGCUGGCUUAAUGGUUGUAAGCGACCCGUCUUGAAACACGGACCAAGGAGUCUAACAUCUAUGCGAGUCUUUGGGUGUCAAACCCAUGGGCGUAAUGAAAGUGAACGGAGGUGGGAGUCCUCGGACGCACCAUCGACCGAUCCUGAUGUUCUCGGAUGGAUUUGAGUAGGAGCAUAGCUGUUGGGACCCGAAAGAUGGUGAACUAUGCCUGAAUAGGGUGAAGCCAGAGGAAACUCUGGUGGAGGCUCGCAGCGGUUCUGACGUGCAAAUCGAUCGUCAAAUUUGGGUAUAGGGGCGAAAGACUAAUCGAACCAUCUAGUAGCUGGUUCCUGCCGAAG